rnacentral:sRNA from 1 species
GCUGGGCGUGGUGGCGGGCGCCUGUAGUCCCAGCUACUCGGAGGCUGAGGCGGGAGAAUGGCGUGAACCCGGGAGGUGGAGCUUGCAGUGAGCCGAGAUCGCGCCACUGCACUCCAGCCUGGGUGACAGAGCAAGACUCCGUCUCAA